UACACUUUGCAAAAUGUCAAAUAUUAAGGACCGUGCUGGUCACUUGAAACGACUGCAAAUGCGCAACACGCGUGGUUGAUUUCUAUUUUCGGCCCACGCGCGGGGAGGAAGUCGAUUAAGGUCGACGACGGCGACGGCUGGCGUUUGUAAUCUCCGACGGAUUUGAUCGUUUCCGGACACUGUAGACUUUAAUCGCAUGUCCAGUAUCCGGCGUUCAUUAUCGGUAUUACCUCAUCGUUCUUCUCGUCGAAAAUCAUAUAAUGUAACUACGAUACACACACACACUCACACACAUACAACUCUCUUGUAGUGACUCUUCCCACUCUCCUGUUCGAUUUCCGAGCAAAAAUAGAUGAAGCGUACAGGGAGUUGGUCACCGAGCGUUAUGAUGUUUCAGCCUCGACUCGACUCUAUCAUUGAACGAUGAGUACCAGGAGUUCUCUCGCUGGAAGAUCGCAAUAUGUGGAAGAUCAAAGAUUAUCUGUUCUUCGUUACGUGCAUGUUGACGCAAUACCGUUGUGUAUGCGUUACGAUACGUUGUAUAUAAUUCAUUAUGUUGCAACGAGCGGCUAUGUAGUCUGCACUGUUAUGAGUUCCUCCGUGGUUUAUUCAGAAUGUUUUUUGGAAAAAUGAUAUUAAGCAUUAUCUUAUAAACGUUCCUUAUAGCACAAAAUCUUGAAAGGAUAUCUUGGGGACUUGUGUGAAUAUUUAAAAGUUCUCGGAAUAUUUUUAGGAUAUUCUGAGGACUUAUGCGGACAUUUAGCGAUCCUCUGGAUGUCUCUGGGACAUCUUUUAAAUAUUGUGCUGUGUGAGAUAUACAACAUAAAAAACAAAAGGAUGUACAAAGUGUUUGAAAAAUAGCCAUUGUAGAUGGAUCUUUACAGAACCUACUGACAGAAUCUGAGAGCAGAUUGGCGGCAGCAGACUGUUUUCAAAAUGAAUAAUACGCGAUGUAAAAACAAGUAUUUUUUAUUAUUUAUAACAUGAGGUUGCAUAUAUCAAAGAAUGUACACUGAAACGGUAACAACAUUUUUGUAUAUAAUAAUAACACAAUAACAAU